AUUGAACGCUGGCGGCAGGCCUAACACAUGCAAGUCGAACGAGUGGCGGACGGGUGAGUAAUGUCUGGGAAACUGCCUGAUGGAGGGGGAUAACUACUGGAAACGGUAGCUAAUACCGCAUACCCUCAGAUGUGCCCAGAUGGGAUUAGCGAGUUGGUGGGGUAACGGCUCACCAAGGCGACGAUCCCUAGCUGGUCUGAGAGGAUGACCAGCCACACUGGAAAUGAGACACGGUCCAGCCUCCUAAGGGAGGCAGCAGUGGGGGAUAUUGCACAAUGGGGGCAAGCCUGAUGCAGCCAUGCAGGGUGUAUGAAGAAGGCCUUCGGGUUGUAAAGUAAUUUCAGCGGGGAGGCGUUACCCGCAGAAGAAGCACCGGCUAAAUCCGUGCCAGCAGCCGCGGUAAUUC
rnacentral:rRNA from 1 species